CCAGCUGCUCGGAGAGGCCGAGACCUCCUGGAAACUGCCUCCAACAGGAAGGAGGACAGCCCUCCUAUGUCCCCAUCCUGUGACUCCAACCAAGAGGGGAAGAGUCCCAUCCUGAGGACCCUGUGCUGCCACUUCCGAGCCGGUUCCCUCUGGGAGAGCGAGGACACCCUCCACAGAUGCAGGGACCCCAAGGCCGGGAUGUGGCCCUCGGGCACGCUGGCACACCUGCCCCUCCUGGGGGCCACACCCUUGCUCACGUCCACCAGCCACCGUCCAGGACACGCCUCCCUGGCUCUGUGGGACUCACAGGGCCUCAGGAGGUGAGACCAGAUCUCAAGUCCCCCACGUGCUUCACACACGUCAGGAGCUGACACAUCUGAUGCCGAGAAAGAUGCAGCUCCUGCCCUGGGCCUUCAGACUAGACGGGCACCCAGCUCUGCCAGGGACAACUUGGGCCUCCUGUUUGGACAGGGAAAACGGCCCAGGGGGUGUGCUGGGUGGAGUGCCCUGGGGAGCACCCAGGGCAAGGAGGCGAAGGCUCAGUGGGGCCACGAGACCCGGCAGGCGGGAGUUAGGGGAGCGGAGCCUGGGAACGCUGCAGAAGCCAGCUUUCUCCUAGGAGGGGACAGGAACGCUGGGCCCUCGCCACCCCUGGUGCAGCUCUUGGCUCUCUGUGUCCACACCCCACUCCUCUGUUUCGGGACAUCAUGGUCCAUGGAAAGGGAUGACAAAAAGCAAGACAGAGGGACGAAAUAUCACAAAAUGUUCAUCUUCCACGGAAGUGGCUGAUCAGAAGGUCGUCAGGCGUGGUCAGGUGGACUGUCCAGACAGGCAGAUGCAGACGACAAGCAGAGGGACUGCAGCCUGUCACGGAUGACCCCACCGCAGCCAGGCCUGGCCCCUGCAGGAGUCACUGGGAAGCCCCGCAGGGGACCAGCCAGCACGCAAAGGCCAGGGAAGGGGAAAGGCUCUCGGAGGGCCUGCCCGCGAGACAGCCGGAGCCGGCUCUUCUUGGGGGCACCGGGCCAGCGGCAGGCCCUCUCCCCUCCUGCGGCUGCAUGCAGGCUGGGCCCAGGGAGCGGCGGGGAGCUGGGCUCAAGGCUGCCUCGGGGCCAGAUCCCCCCUCCCUCGAAGGCUGCAUGGGAUGGCCACAGCAUUCUUCCCAGCCCGCAGCACUUCACUUUCUUCCUUAAAAAGAAAAAAAUGUUUUCUAAAUAAAAUAAACAACCCCCCAACCAAACACGAGGUCAGACUCAGCAGAGUCCUUGAAGAGGACGCCCCCGAAGCGGCAGCGUUAGGGUUUCCUGUCCAUUCCCACGGGGCUGGGGCUGAGGGAGCCAGGAGGUUAGGGAAACGUGCCGUGGGGUCACUCCUGCAAGGGUGGCAAGCACAGGCUGGCAAGGAGGCGGUGGUGGCCUCCUGGGCUGGGUCAGGCACGGCAGCGUUAGGGCCCCGGCCCGGGGCAACAACCCUGAGAUCCAGGAGUAGUGGCUCCCACAUCUACUCCGGUGGUCAGAAGCGCCAAACGCCCGCAUCAUUCCCCCUGGAAGGACCCUAAGGCUCCCAGCCCCUCCGGGAAGGGCCCUCAGCUGCCUUUGUUCCCCCCAGUCAGACGAGCACCCGGGCCUGGCUCCAAACGGCUCUCCCCACCUCCCUCCUGGAGGCCAGGCCAAGUCACAAACUUUAAGGUCCAGUUUCCCCACUUGUAAAGGGAGGAUGUCAACAAAUGCUGAAUCGGCACCACCCAGCUGGGCACUGAAAAUGGCCGAGAGGACACGGCAGAAGGAGAGCUCUCCCAAGAUGCCAGCCUUGCCAUGAGGGCUGUCAGCUCCCUCCUCCUCCAGGGCCCCCCAGCCUGCCCUGCCUUCUAGAUCGCGAUCAGAAGCCACGCCCCACACCUGCCCCGUCCUCGGAGGGUGGGGCUACGGCCAGGCGGCCUCCUGAUUGGUGAGCGCUCCCCGGGGCUGAGCCCACCAGCUCUCCUGGGGCCAGAGUGGUGGCAGCGCCACUUGGCUCACCGACCAGCCCCAUGCACAUGGGCCACUCCGCGGCGGUUGGUGGUGGGCAGAGCUCGGUACCUGCCCUGCCAAGGUGGCAAGGGCCCCUUGGCAGGAGCUGCCCGGCCCCACUGCCUGUGACCAGGGCCGCAGCCGGAGGAGAGAGAGCACCUCCCCCCAUCCCAGCGAGUUGGGGGGGACCCGGCGGAGGGGGAGAACUUCCGGUACCUCCAGGCACCAUGUGGCUCAAAGGAAACGCUAAGUCCCUUGCUCUGUGGCGCAGCGGCCUCACGGACGACUCCCACUCAGGGUCACAGACUCAUUUAUGUGGACUGGGAGGGACCGCAGCGUCAGAAGCAGACACUCAUUUUGACGCCGAGGAAAUCGAGGCCAGAAGUAGCAGAGCUGUUCACUCAGAGUCCCAGGCCGGCCCUCCCCGAGAAUGGGCCUCUGCCAGGCAAGGGCCUCCCUCAGCCUCUGUGGGAUUGCUGGGUGAAGGGUCUCAGGGGACCCCAGACUCGUGCCCUGGCUGCCUCGGCCCCCACCUCCACCAGGCUGGGGGCAGCCUUGGCCGGCACCUGGCAGGUCGGGGGCUGCGGUUCCUGUGCUCCUUGUGACAGGGAUGACAGAGCAGCUCAGGACAGUGCAAGCUGGCACGGGGGCUCCAGGCCUGGCAGGUCUGGUGCAGCCCCACCAGGAACUGUCAGCUCUAGGAGACGAUGGUUAAGCCCGCCGAGAGGAGGCUGUAGCCGAGGCUGAGGUGCUGCUUUGUGGCAUUUCCAGGAAACCUGGCACCGUGGUGGCAGCGGUAAGAGGAAGUCCUCUGGGGCAUCUUAUUAACAUUUCUCAAUGACUCUCCUUGGAGCCAACAACAUCCUCAGAGCUUGAGGACAGGGCCACAUACCAAAUGGGAAAGACUAACCCUGAGCCAGGGAAGAUAAAAUGACACCCACUGGGCACCACCCACACGAGCCCACCUCGUAGCAACCCAGAUUCCCCAUGGCAUGGCGGCCACAAAGUGACAGCUUGCAGAAUGUGCGGGGAAAAAGCACUCUCGCAGCUUGUCACGCAUCACUGCUGCCACCACGUUAGAACAAACGCGGAGCCAACUUCCAGGGCUCGCUGCCCUGCAGCUCCCAGGAAGCCCAGCCCCAGAACGGCCUCAAGAGUCAGAAGACAGAGCUGCUAACACUGGAAAAGCCCCUGCUGAAACCCUGCUCUGCGGCGGGCCGACAGGCUCCCCUCCUCAUGGGCGACGAGGCAAAGGCAGGCAUGUUUCUGUCCUAGAAAAGGCUGCAGAGCCCUCACGCUGAGCCUCUCCUGACUGAAACAGAUCCGUGACUACUUGAGUGGAAGGCACUCUCUCGCAUCCGGCCUGCAGAGGGUCCCGGCCCCUCGAGGCCACAGGAAAAAGGGGCAGGUGGGACGGAGCCUGUGAACUCCUCAAAGACCCUCGCGUCCUCGUGGCUCCUGCUGUCUGUUUCGAGGCAGGAGCAUGACGUCCCGAGAGCGCCAGCCAGGCGCAGGCAGCCUGAACCCAGUGGCCCCCGAGAGCUCAGCCCCUGGGCAAAGCCUCCCCGGGGGCUCGGGGCGGGCAGGAAACGCCGCUGCAGGCGUGCCUGCCCCUGACGUCAUCGGGAGUUUACUACUAAGGAUUGAUCGUGCAUUAAUAGGACA
ensembl:lncRNA